rnacentral:rRNA from 1 species
UACGUAGGGUGCAAGCGUUAUCCGGAUUUACUGGGUGUAAAGGGCGAGUAGACGGCGAUGCAAGUCAGAUGUGAAAGACCGGGGCUCAACCCCGGGGCUGCAUUUGAAACUGCCGAGCUUGAGUCCGGGAGAGGCAGGCGGAAUUCCUAGUGUAGCGGUGAAAUGCGUAGAUAUUAGGAGGAACACCAGUGGCGAAGGCGGCCUGCUGGACCGGAACUGACGCUGAGGCACGAAAGCGUGGGGAGCAAACAGG